CUUUGACGUUAGCGGCGGACGGGUGAGUAACACGUGGAUAACCUACCUAUAAGACUGGGAUAACUUCGGGAAACCGGAGCUAAUACCGGAUAACAUAUUGAACCGCAUGGUUCAAUAGUGAAAGGCGGCUUUGCUGUCACUUAUAGAUGGAUCCGCGCCGUAUUAGCUAGUUGGUAAGGUAACGGCUUACCAAGGCAACGAUACGUAGCCGACCUGAGAGGGUGAUCGGCCACACUGGAACUGAGACACGGUCCAUACUCCUACGGGAGGCAGCAGUAGGGAAUCUUCCGCAAUGGGCGAAAGCCUGACGGAGCAACGCCGCGUGAGUGAUGAAGGUCUUCGGAUCGUAAAACUCUGUUAUCAGGGAAGAACAAAUGUGUAAGUAACUGUGCACAUCUUGACGGUACCUGAUCAGAAAGCCACGGCUAACUACGUGCCAGCAGCCGCGGUAAUACGUAGGUGGCAAGCGUUAUCCAGAAUUAUUGGGCGU
rnacentral:rRNA from 1 species